GCGCGAUUAGCUCAGUUGGUUAGAGCGCACGCUUGACAUGCGUGAGGUCACAAGUUCGAGUCUUGUAUCGCGCA
rfam:Patulibacter medicamentivorans strain I11 contig18, whole genome shotgun sequence.